rnacentral:rRNA from 1 species
UACGUAGGGCGCAAGCGUUGUCCGGAAUUAUUGGGCGUAAAGAGCUCGUAGGCGGCUUGUCGCGUCGAUUGUGAAAGCCCGGGGCUUAACCUCGGGUCUGCAGUCGAUACGGGCUGGCUAGAGUGUGGUAGGGGAGAUCGGAAUUCCUGGUGUAGCGGUGAAAUGCGCAGAUAUCAGGAGGAACACCGGUGGCGAAGGCGGAUCUCUGGGCCAUUACUGACGCUGAGACGCGAAAGCGUGGGGAGGCGAACAGG